rnacentral:tRNA from 1 species
GGGCGUGUGGCGGAAUUGGCAGACGCGCUGGAUUUAGGAUCCAGUGCCGCAAGGCAUGCGGGUUCGACUCCCGCCUCGCCCACCA